CCUACGGGUGGCAGCAGUGGGGAAUAUUGCACAAUGGGGGAAACCCUGAUGCAGCGACGCCGCGUGAGUGAAGAAGUAUUUCGGUACGUAAAGCUCUAUCAGCAGGGAAGAAAAUGACGGUACCUGACUAAGAAGCCCCGGCUAACUACGUGCCAGCAGCCGCGGUAAUACGUAGGGGGCAAGCGUUAUCCGGAUUUACUGGGUGUAAAGGGAGCGUAGACGGCAGCGCAAGUCUGGAGUGAAAUCCCAUGGCUUAACCAUGGAACUGCUUUGGAAACUGUGCAGCUAGAGUGCAGGAGAGGUAAGCGGAAUUGCUAGUGUAGCGGUGAAAUGCGUAGAUAUUAGGAGGAACACCAGUGGCGAAGGCGGCUUACUGGACUGUAACUGACGUUGAGGCUCGAAAGCGUGGGGAGCAAACAGGAUUAGAUACCCCAGUAGUC
rnacentral:rRNA from 1 species